GACGAACGCUGGCGGCGUGCUUAACACAUGCAAGUCGAACGGAAAGGCCCUGCUUUUGUGGGGUGCUCGAGUGGCGAACGGGUGAGUAACACGUGAGUAACCUGCCCUUGACUUUGGGAUAACUUCAGGAAACUGGGGCUAAUACCGGAUAGGAGCUCCUGCUGCAUGGUGGGGGUUGGAAAGUUUCGGCGGUUGGGGAUGGACUCGCGGCUUAUCAGCUUGUUGGUGGGGUAGUGGCUUACCAAGGCUUUGACGGGUAGCCGGCCUGAGAGGGUGACCGGCCACAUUGGGAAUGAGAUACGGCCCAGACUUAUACGGGAGGAAGCAGUGGGGAAUAUUGCACAAUGGGCGGAAGACUGAUGCAGCAACGCCGCGUGCGGGAUGACGGACUUCGGGUUGUAAACCGCUUUCGCCUGUGACGAAGCGUGAGUGACGGUAAUGGGUAAAGAAGCACCGGCUAACUACGUG
rnacentral:rRNA from 1 species